rnacentral:rRNA from 1 species
AUUGAACGCUGGCGGCAUGCUUUACACAUGCAAGUCGAACGGUAACAGGCCGCAAGGUGCUGACGAGUGGCGAACGGGUGAGUAAUGCAUCGGAACGUGCCCAGUCGUGGGGGAUAACGCAGCGAAAGCUGUGCUAAUACCGCAUACGAUCUAUGGAUGAAAGCGGGGGACCGUAAGGCCUCGCGCGAUUGGAGCGGCCGAUGUCAGAUUAGGUAGUUGGUGGGGUAAAGGCCUACCAAGCCGACGAUCUGUAGCUGGUCUGAGAGGACGACCAGCCACACUGGGACUGAGACACGGCCCAGACUCCUACGGGAGGCAGCAGUGGGGAAUUUUGGACAAUGGGCGCAAGCCUGAUCCAGCAAUGCCGCGUGCAGGAAGAAGGCCUUCGGGUUGUAAACUGCUUUUGUACGGAACGAAACGGUCUGGGUUGACACCCUGGGCUAAUGACGGUACCGUAAGAAUAAGCACCGGCUAACUACGUGCCAGCCGCCGCUGUAA